rnacentral:rRNA from 1 species
UACGUAGGGUGCAAGCGUUAAUCGGAAUUACUGGGCGUAAAGUGUGCGCAGGCGGCAUUGCAAGUCGAGUGUGAAAGCCCCCGGGCUUAACUUGGGAAUUGCGCUCGAAACUACAGUGCUGGAGUGUGGCAGAGGAAGGUGGAAUUCCACGUGUAGCGGUGAAAUGCGUAGAGAUGUGGAGGAACACCGAUGGCGAAGGCAGCCUUCGUGGGC